rnacentral:rRNA from 1 species
CGUAGGGAGCAAGCGUUGUUCGGAUUUACUGGGCGUAAAGGGCGCGUAGGCGGCGCGGUAAGUCACUUGUGAAAUCUCUGAGCUUAACUCAGAACGGCCAAGUGAUACUGCAGUGCUAGAGUGUAGAAGGGGCAAUCGGAAUUCUUGGUGUAGCGGUGAAAUGCGUAGAUAUCAAGAGGAACACCUGAGGUGAAGACGGGUUGCUGGUCUAACACUGACGCUGAGGCGCGAAAGCUAGGGAGCAAACGGGAUU